UAAUCUUGGGUAAAAUGUAUACUGUUCGGGUGAUGGUGCACCAAAAAUCUCAUGAAUCACCACUAAAGAACUUAUGUAACCAAAUACCAACUGUACCCCAAUAACUUAUGGAAAAAAUCUUCGUAAAUAAACAAAUAAAAACAGAAGCAGGUAUGGGUGUCACAAGGAGGAAAAGGCCAGUCAACAGAAUUGUUUCAC